rnacentral:rRNA from 1 species
CAUCGCUUGUUUAUCAAAAACAUAUACUGGUCGUAGUCCCUUGAUCAGGUUCUGUGGAGGUUACCAGGGUAUGACACAGGGUGCACUAGCGAGGACAGGUAACUGAUAUCGCCUGUUUACCAAAAACAUGUCUUUCCGAGUUAAUUUAAAGUCCAAUCUGCCCACUGAUUUAUUAAAGGGCUGCAGUAAUUUACUGUACAAAGGUAGCAUACUCAUUCCUCCUUUAAUUGAGACUUGUAUGAAGGAUUUGAUGAAAUAUAACCUGUCUCUAAAUUAUAAUUAAAAUUUAAUUUUUUAGUUAAAAAGCUAAAAUAAAUUUAAAAGACGAGAAGACCCUAUAGAGCCUUAUAGUUUAUAAUUUAAAAUAGUUAUAUAAAAAUUUAAAAUAAAAUACUAUAAAUUGAAUAACGGGGGGAUAAAAAAAUAAGAAAAACCAUCUCACAUAAACAAAAUAAAGAUGAAGACCACGCGCGCUCCUCGUCCCGGGAUAGCCGACCAGA